rnacentral:misc_RNA from 1 species
CCCAGCUCAACCUGCUGGUUCUCUCUUGGUGGCCAACUCACUCCCAGGUGGUAAUGGAGAGCUGCAACGCCUUGCUAUGGUUAUCCCUGAAAUCGGCCAAUUGCCUCAUUCUUCAACUCCAUCUUCUUCGACAAAACUUUUGAAUUCUGCAAAUUCUCCUCAGAUGCAUUCUCAAUCAACAUUGUCUGGUGAAUCACCAAGGGUACAGGUCAUUUCCCAUCUGCUUCCAGCACCUGAUUCUGGUGUUGCUUCAGUUAAUACUGUCACUGAUAUGAAAGGUCUCCAGAAUUUCGUUCAGCCUGUAACUAAUAAUAAUACUCU